rnacentral:rRNA from 1 species
GGAUGCAGCAGUAGGGAAUCUUCCGCAAUGGACGAAAGUCUGACGGAGCAACGCCGCGUGAGUGAUGAAGGUUUUCGGAUCGUAAAACUCUGUUGUUAGGGAAGAACAAGUACCGGAGUAACUGCCGGUGCCUUGACGGUACCUAACCAGAAAGCCACGGCUAACUACGUGCCAGCAGCCGCGGUGAUACGUAGGUGGCAAGCGUUGUCCGGAAUUAUUGGGCGUAAAGCGCGCGCAGGCGGUUCCUUAAGUCUGAUGUGAAAGCCCCCGGCUCAACCGGGGAGGGUCAUUGGAAACUGGGGAACUUGAGUGCAGAAGAGAAGAGUGGAAUUCCACGUGUAGCGGUGAAAUGCGUAGAGAUGUGGAGGAACACCAGUGGCGAAGGCGACUCUUUGGUCUGUAACUGACGCUGAGGCGCGAAAGCGUGGGGAGCAAACAGGAUUAGAUACCCUGGUAGUCCACGCCGUAAACGAUGAGUGCUAAGUGUUAGAGGGUUUCCGCCCUUUAGUGCUGCAGCAAACGCAUUAAGCACUCCGCCUGGGGAGUACGGCCGCAAGGCUGAAACUCAAAGGAAUUGACGGGGGCCCGCACAAGCGGUGGAGCAUGUGGUUUAAUUCGAAGCAACGCGAAGAACCUUACCAGGUCUUGACAUCUCCUGACAACCCUAGAGAUAGGGCGUUCCCCUUCGGGGGACAGGAUGACAGGUGGUGCAUGGUUGUCGUCAGCUCGUGUCGUGAGAUGUUGGGUUAAGUCCCGCAACGAGCGCAACCCUUGAUCUUAGUUGCCAGCAUUCAGUUGGGCACUCUAAGGUGACUGCCGGUGACAAACCGGAGGAAGGUGGGGAUGACGUCAAAUCAUCAUGCCCCUUAUGACCUGGGCUACACACGUGCUACAAUGGAUGGUACAAAGGGCUGCGAGACCGCGAGGUUAAGCGAAUCCCAUAAAACCAUUCUCAGUUCGGAUUGCAGGCUGCAACUCGCCUGCAUGAAGCCGGAAUCGCUAGUAAUCGCGGAUCAGCAUGCCGCGGUGAAUUCGUUCCCGGGCCUUGUACACACCGCC